GAUCGUAACACUCCCGAUCAGCAUCUCUCCUCAGACUCUGAGGAAGAGGUCCAGGGUCCUGAUGGUCAGCCAGGAUAUCAACACGUCCUGAGGCUGGCCAAGGCCCUGGUGGAGAUCAGGAAUCCCCAACAGCAGGGUAGACUGAAUUGUUGCGCUCUGGGAACGCCUCCCAGAGUCUGACAAGCAGCGGGUCGUCUACCCUGCCAGUGUAACGGGUUCACAAUGUAUGUUAUAAUUACACAAAAUUGUAUUAUUUUUAUUUUUCACCUGGCAAUUGGGUCGCAUGCUAAUAGGGUCCUUCAGGUCCUAAAUAUAAGUUGAUGCUCCGCCCUUCCUCUUCCCUUUUUCUGCUUUCUGAUUUGGAAGAGGUGAGUGUGGCGGAUUGAUUUUUCUUUAUAUUUAAUUUCUGUGUUAAUUUAAACUUUAUGUUUUAGUUUUGGGCACUGUCGGAGCGCGGCACAUGCUGACGCCAUAUUUUGUUUUAAAACCAGAAUAAAUGAACGCUGUUUCAACAAAA